rnacentral:rRNA from 1 species
UGGGGAAUCUUAGACAAUGGGGGAAACCCUGAUCUAGCCAUGCCGCGUGAGCGAUGAAGGCCUUAGGGUUGUAAAGCUCUUUCAGAUGGGAAGAUAAUGACGGUACCAUCAGAAGAAGCCCCGGCUAACUCCGUGCCAGCAGCCGCGGUAAUACGGAGGGGGCUAGCGUUGUUCGGAAUUACUGGGCGUAAAGCGCGCGUAGGCGGAUUGAAAAGUUGGGGGUGAAAUCCCAGGGCUCAACCCUGGAACUGCCUUCAAAACUAUCAGUCUAGAGUUCGAGAGAGGUGAGUGGAAUUCCGAGUGUAGAGGUGAAAUUCGUAGAUAUUCGGAAGAACACCAGUGGCGAAGGCGGCUCACUGGCUCGAUACUGACGCUGAGGUGCGAAAGCGUGGGGAGCAAACA